UACGAAGGGAGCUAGCGUUGUUCGGAAUCACUGGGCGUAAAGCGCACGUAGGCGGAUGUGUCAGUCAGGGGUGAAAUCCCGGAGCUCAACUUCGGAACUGCCUUUGAUACAGCACGUCUUGAGUCCGAUAGAGGUGGGUGGAAUUCCUAGUGUAGAGGUGAAAUUCGUAGAUAUUAGGAAGAACACCGGUGGCGAAGGCGGCCCACUGGAUCGGUACUGACGCUGAGGUGCGAAAGCGUGAGGAGCAAACAGG
rnacentral:rRNA from 1 species